AUACAUGCAAGUCGAGCGAAUGGAUUAAGAGCUUGCUCUUAUGAAGUUAGCGGCGGACGGGUGAGUAACACGUGGGUAACCUGCCCAUAAGACUGGGAUAACUCCGGGAAACCGGGGCUAAUACCGGAUAACAUUUUGAACCGCAUGGUUCGAAAUUGAAAGGCGGCUUCGGCUGUCACUUAUGGAUGGACCCGCGUCGCAUUAGCUAGUUGGUGAGGUAACGGCUCACCAAGGCAACGAUGCGUAGCCGACCUGAGAGGGUGAUCGGCCACACUGGGACUGAGACACGGCCCAGACUCCUACGGGAGGCAGCAGUAGGGAAUCUUCCGCAAUGGACGAAAGUCUGACGGAGCAACGCCGCGUGAGUGAUGAAGGCUUUCGGGUCGUAAAACUCUGUUGUUAGGGAAGAACAAGUGCUAGUUGAAUAAGCUGGCACCUUGACGGUACCUAACCAGAAAGCCACGGCUAACUACGUGCCAGCAGCCGCGGUAAUACGUAGGUGGCAAGCGUUAUCCGGAAUUAUUGGGCGUAAAGCGCGCGCAGGUGGUUUCUUAAGUCUGAUGUGAAAGCCCACGGCUCAACCGUGGAGGGUCAUUGGAAACUGGGAGACUUGAGUGCAGAAGAGGAAAGUGGAAUUCCAUGUGUAGCGGUGAAAUGCGUAGAGAUAUGGAGGAACACCAGUGGCGAAGGCGACUUUCUGGUCUGUAACUGACACUGAGGCGCGAAAGCGUGGGGAGCACACAGGAUUAGAUACCCUGGUAGUCCACGCCGUAAACGAUGAGUGCUAAGUGU
rnacentral:rRNA from 1 species